rnacentral:tRNA from 1 species
UUCGGAGUGNGGAGCAGUCUGGUAGCUCGUCGGGCUCAUAACCCGAAGGUCGUAGGUUCAAAUCCUGCUCCCGCAACCA